rnacentral:rRNA from 1 species
GGAGGAAAGCAGGGGAUCGCAAGACCUUGCGCUUUUGGAGCGGCCGAUGCCUGAUUAGCUUGUUGGUGAGGUAAAAGCUCACCAAGGCUCCGAUCAGUAGCUGGUCUGAGAGGACGACCAGCCACACUGGGACUGAGACACGGCCCAGACUCCUACGGGAGGCAGCAGUGGGGAAUUUUGGACAAUGGGGGCAACCCUGAUCCAGCCAUGCCGCGUGAGUAAAGAAGGCCUUCGGGUUGUAAAGCUCUUUCAGCCGGAACGAAACGGUCACGGUUAAUACCCGUGACUACUGACGGUACCGGAAGAAGAAGCACCGGCUAACUACGUGCCAGCAGCCGCGGUAAUACGUAGGGUGCGAGCGUUAAUCGGAAUUACUGGGCGUAAAGCGUGCGCAGGUGGUUUUGUAAGUCAGAUGUGAAAUCCCCGGGCUUAACCUGGGAACUGCGUUUGAAACUACAAAGCUAG